AUUGAACGCUGGCGGCAGGCCUAACACAUGCAAGUCGAACGAGUGGCGGACGGGUGAGUAAUGUCUGGGAAACUGCCUGAUGGAGGGGGAUAACUACUGGAAACGGUAGCUAAUACCGCAUACCAUCAGAUGUGCCCCGAUGGGAUUAGCGUGUUGGUGGGGUAACGGCUCACCAAGGCGACGAUCCCUAGCUGGUCUGAGAGGAUGACCAGCCAAACUGGAACGGAGACACGUGCCAGACGCCUACGGAAGGCAGCAGUGGGGAAUAUUGCGCAAUGGGUGGAGGCCUGAUGCAGCCAGGCGGCAUGUAGGAAGAAGGCCUUCGGGUUGUAAAGUACUUUCAGCGGGGAGGCGUUACCCGCAGAAGAAGCACCGGCUAACUCGGUGCCAGCAGCGCGGUAAUAC
rnacentral:rRNA from 1 species